rnacentral:rRNA from 1 species
GACGAACGCUGGCGGCAUGCCUAAUACAUGCAAGUUGAACGAUGAUAUUCUCUGCUUGCGGAGUAUUGAAGAGUAGCGAACGGGUGAGUAACACGUGGGGAACCUGCUCAAGAGAGGGGGAUAACAUUCGGAAUCGGAUGCUAAUACCGCAUAAUGCUUUGGACCGCCUGGUCCAGAGACGAAAGACGGCUUUUGCCGUCACUCACGGAUGGCAUCGCGCCGUAUGAGCUAGUUGGUGGGGUAAUGGCUCACCAAAGCGGUGAUACGUAGACGACCGGCGGGAGGGGUCGCCGACACGGGAGCUGGAACACGGCCCAGGGGCCUGCGAGAGGCAGCAGUAGCGAAUCUGCCGCAGUAGGCGAGAGCCUGAUGGAGCGAGGGCACGUGAAUUAAGAAGACCUUCGGAGCGUAAAGUUCGGUUAUUAGUUGAAAACAAGUCUAGGAGUAGCUGUAGUGUCAGUGACGGUACCGAAUCAGAAAGUCACGGCUAACUACGUG